GCGGGUAUGGCGGAAUUGGCAGACGCGCAGGAUUUAGGUUCCUGUGAAGUGAUUCGUGUGGGUUCGACCCCCACUACCCGUACCA
rnacentral:tRNA from 2 species